rnacentral:rRNA from 1 species
UACAGAGGGGCGAGCGUUGUUCGGAAUUAUGCUAGGGCGUAAAGGGCUCGUAGGCGGCCAACUAAGUCGGACGUGAAAUCCCCAGGCUCAACCUGGGAACUGCGUCCGAUACUGGAUGGCUUGAAUUCGGGAGAGGGAUGCAGAAUCAGGUGUAGCGGUGAAAUGCGUAGAUAUCUGGAGGAAUACCGGUGGCGAAGGCGGCAUCCUGGACCGACAUUGACGCUGAUGAGCGAAAGCUAGGGGAGCAAACGGG